rnacentral:lncRNA from 10 species
AUGAUAGAAAAGAAAAACUCAUUUUUUUCUAGGGAGAAAUUCAAGCCAGCUGCAGAAAUUCAUUCAUUUAAUUUCAAGUUUCCUCAAUCACUUUGCUUAGAUGUGUCUUUUUCCACAUUAUAGAGUUGGAUUGUGUUUUGUGUUUUCUGAUUCUUUCUCAAAUUUUUUUCUUAUAAUAGGAGAGAUAUACUAUUUACAUUUAUUGAUAAGAAAAAUAUACUUGAACUUGCCUCUUUUAUUAGUCAGUUUAACCAGAAAAAAACAAACCAGUAGCUCAGAUAUACAUGAACAUAUUUUUGUAAGGAAUUGACUUAUACAGUUGUGGGACCUGGCAAGGCAAGUCCAAAAUCUGUAGGGCAGGCCACCAGCAAAGACAGGUUGUGAUUCACAGGCCAGAAGAGCUUCUGCUGCUCACAGGUAGGAUCUCUUCUUCAGGAGAGCCUCGGCUCUGCUCCUGGGACCUUUCAAUGGAUUGAAUCAGAACCACCCAGAUCAGCUAGAGUAAUCUCCCUAAUUAAUGUCAACUGAUUGUGGACUUCAAUCACAUCUACAAAAUACUUCCUUAGCAACACCUAAAUGGCUGAAUGACUGGGGACUGUGGCUUAGACAAGUUGACACAUGAAACUCCUCUGACAUUUUAUGUUACCUUUUCUGAUUUGUUGUUUAAAAUUAUGUGGUCUACUUUCAUGAUCAUUUUUAUUUUUUGUGGUUUUUCUAAUACUUAGAAAAAUCUGUGUUUUUCUUUCAUGUUUACCUUUAGUGCUAAACUUUAAUAUAACACCCCUAGUCUCUAUUUACUUAGACAGUAUCUACUGUUUCCUUAUUGUAAACCAUGUUGAAAAUAAUGUGUACUUUGCCCUUCUGGUCAUCUUUCUCUGUUCAAUCCCCUAAUCCAUGAAGUCUUUGCUAACGUGGACUUUUGUCUUGUCAAAUAUGCUUAUACUUCUGUUAUUUGAUUUUUCAUCUUUAAAUGAUACGAUCCAAUAGCCAGCUAUCACAGCUAAAGUCAUCAAAAAAUUGACUCUGCCUCACCUUUCUUCUCCUUUUC